rnacentral:rRNA from 1 species
CGGACAAUAUACAAGGUGCUGCAUGGUUGUCGUCAGCUCGUGCCGUGAGGUGUCGGGUUAAGUCCCAUAACGAGCGCAACCCUUGCCUUUAGUUGCCAGCAGUUCGGCUGGGCACUCUAAAGGGACUGCCGGUGUUAAACCGGAGGAAGGUGGGGAUGACGUCAAGUCCUCAUGGCCUUUAUGACCAGGGCUACACACGUACUACAAUGGCCGAUACAAAGGGCAGCGACACUGCGAGGUGAAGCCAAUCCCGUAAAAUCGGUCUCAGUCCGGAUUGGAGUCUGCAACUCGACUCCAUGAAGUUGGAAUCGCUAGUAAUCGUGGAUCAGCAUGCCACGGUGAAUACGUUCCCGGGCCUU